UCUCUCUCUCUCGCUCUCCCCCCUAUUACCAGGAGCAUGGCCUUCACAAUAUAAACCUGUCUACUCACCCAGUAUGUAUGAAUCAGCAAAAGAGGUGACGCUGUGACAGUAAAGGACUAACGGAGGGGGAAAAAACCCAGACAUUUUAAUGCUUUUUACGCAUUUGCUUUCAGAGCGUGUAUAUCUGCUUUCAGAGUGUAAAUAUUUUCUCCCGUGAUUCUUUCUCUUUGACUGAAAUGGUAUACAUCUUAUAAUCUCUUAAUUUCAUCAUCUCAUAUCGUAAAGUGUUGUUCUUGAAAGACUUGAGAUUACUCCAAUCAAAACUUGAUCUUCUUAUGAAAAAAAGGUCCCUCUCUCCUUGUGCCUCCAGAACCGCUCUGACCCGUCGAGGCACGGACUCCACAAGACCUCUGAAGGUGUGCUGUGGUUUCUGGCACCGAGACGUCAGCGGCAGAUCCUUUGAGUCCUGUAAGUUACAAGGCGGGGCUCCAUUGAUCUGUGAGUUACAAGGCGGGGCCUCCAUGGAUUGGACUUGUAUGUCCGGCACAUCCUACAGACAGUCGAUCGGAUUGAGAUCUGGGGAAUUCGGAGGUCAAGUCAACACCUUAAACUCUUUGUCAUGUUCCUCAAAGCACAUCAGUGAGCUUUGGGCGCCCAUGACCUUUUAAUUAUGAAUACUAGCUAGGAUUCAGAUUUUUUUUUCCACUUAAAAUAUGCUUUAGUGCUAGUUUGUUUAAGAAUACUGCUCCAUGGCCAGCAACUUGUAACGAUGGGGCCACGUUUUAUUUGAUUCCCCACAUUGCUAAAUCAACUCAAUAAAAGCGGGAUUAAAAUAAAAUAAAUGUAAUGAGUGUAAUAAAACACGGCUUCUCACGAGACAUCACCAAGCUACAUACCCACGGUUCUCCAAGAUGUAUAUCCAGGGCGUCCCUCACCGCGUUGAAGUCACAUGACAUAAGGCUACCACGUACAGUUAAUAAUUCUGGAUGAGAGGAAAGUGCGCGAAGAAAAGCCCUGAGAUCUUAAGAGGUGCGCAGCAAAAAGUUUGAGAACUUCCCGUUACAGACUUUUUAACCUUCCCAGUUUAUUUAAUAUUAUAAUAUUAUAAUUUGACACUUUUGUGCAUUGUGCGUGUGUAAGAGGGGGAAAAAACAGUCCUGCCAUUACAUUCUGUUCAUGAUGACAUCCAUGGAAAAAAAUAAAGGACGUGAUGUGAAACAAAACAUACAGAAAUAUUUAGUCAAAAGAAUCUAUUUACAUUUCUGUCACAUCAGGCAAGUUUCGGUGAAGCAGAGAACGUGG